GAUGAAUGCUGGCGGCGUGCCUAACACAUGCAAGUCGAGCGGCAGCGCGAGUAGUUUACUACUUGGCGGCGAGCGGCGGACGGCUGAGUAACGCGUGGGAACGUGCCCCAAAGUGAGGAAUAACUGCCCGAAAGGGUGGCUAAUGCCGCAUAUGAUCUUCGGAUUAAAGGAUUUAUCCGCUUUGGGAGCGGCCCGCGUUAGAGUAGGUAGUUGGUGAGGUAAUGGCUCACCAAGCCGACGAUCUAUAGCUGGUCUGAGAGGAUGAUCAGCCAGACUGGAACUGAGACACGGUCCAGACUCCUACGGGAGGCAGCAGUGAGGAAUCUUCCACAAUGGGCGAAAGCCUGAUGGAGCAACGCCGCGUGCAGGAUGAAGGCCCUAGGGUCGUAAACUGCUUUUAUAAGUGAAGAAUAUGACGGUAACUUAUGAAUAAGCACCGGCUAACUACGUGCCAGCCGCCGCGGUAA
rnacentral:rRNA from 1 species